GGUGCGUAACACGUGUGCAACCUACCUUAAAGUUCAGAAUAGCCUGCCGAAAGGCGGAUUAAUGCGGAAUGUGGCGGCUCACAGCAUUGUGUGCUUGCUAAAGCCGGGGUCGCAAGACCUGGCGCUUUAAGAGGGGCUCGCGGCCUAUCAGCUUGUUGGCGGGGUAACGGCCCACCAAGGCUAAGACGGGUAGCUGUUCUGAGAGGAAGAUCAGCCACACUGGGACUGAGAUACGGCCCANACACCUACGGGUGGCAGCAGUUUCGAAUCAUUUACAAUGGGGGAAACCCUGAUAGUGCGACGCCGCGUGGGGGAUGAAGGUCCUUGGAUUGUAAACCCCUGUCACCGGAGAACAAACGCGUAUGGCUAAUAUCCAUACGCCUGAGCUUAUCCGGAGAGGAAGCCGUGGCCAACUCUGUGCCAGCAGCCGCGGUAAUACAGAGACGGCGAGCGUUACUCGGAUUUACUGGGCGUAAAGGGUGCGUAGGUGGCCAAGUGUGUCGGGUGUGAAAUCUCGGAGCUCAACUCCGAAACUGCGCCCGAAACUACUUGGCUUGAGUCUCAGAGAGGGUAGUGNAAUUCCUGGUGUAGCGGUGAANUGCGUANAUAUCANGAGGAAUACC
rnacentral:rRNA from 1 species